rnacentral:rRNA from 1 species
ACGAAAGUAGCAAGUACUUAGGUGGCAGACGGGUGAGUAACAUGUAGGUAUCUGCCCUUUGGCCGUGCAAUAACACGAGGAAACGUUGUGCUAAUACCGGGAUAAGUCUUCUACGGAGAAAGCUGUUAUGCACCAGUUGGAUGGAGCCUGCACUUGAUUAGUUUGUUGGUGGGGUAAUAGCCUACCAGAGACUGUGAUCAAUAGCUGAUUUUGAGAGGAUGAUCAGCCACAUUGGGACUGAGACACGGCCCAAACUCCUACGGGAGGCAGCAGUGGGGAAUCUUGCACAAUGGAGGAAACUCUGAUGCAGCGAUGCCGCGUGAGUGAAGAAGGCCCUUGGGUUGUAAAGCUCUUUCGUCGGGGAAGAAAAUGACUGUACCCGAAUAAGAAGGUCCGGCUAACUUCGUGCCAGCAGCCGCGGUAAUACGAAGGGACCUAGCGUAGUUCGGAAUUACUGGGCUUAAAGAGUUCGUAGGUGGUUAAAAAAGUUGGUGGUGAAAUCCCAGAGCUUAACUCUGGAACUGCCAUCAAAACUUUUAGACUAGAGUAUGAUAGAGGAAAGCAGAAUUUCUAGUGUAGAGGUGAAAUU